AGACAGUGUAGGCUGGAACCUCAGGCCAAACAUGCCAGAAACAUGGCAGUAAAAUUCUGUUGGUCAAUAGUGGUGAAGGUCUGGUUAAGAUCACAGCCUGGGGACAUGAGAAGAUGGAUAGAGGGACCCUGCAGGAGCAAGACCGGCCAUCUUAUCAGAGGACUUAGGGUCUGGGACAUGUGAUGAAGACUUUUCAGGGGACAGAGACUGCAGAUGGCCAUGUGGUGGGUUCCUUGGAAGGAAGGGCCUAAUCACAGCUGGAUACACUCAAAUGGUGGAUAUAUCACACACCACUGGAGGAUGAAAAAGGAAGUAAUGAGGGUAAUGAGCCAUGAGCACUGUUGGAAAUCAUUCCACGCAGGCAGCCUCAUCCUCUGGAUCGAACAGAUAUUAUUGGCACAGUACCAACUGCUGGAAGAUGAGAGAGGAAAAAAAAGAAGAAAGAAGGAAACAGUGAUCAUGAUAAUAAAUUUCUUUAAGCAUCUGAUGAAUGUUUGUGCAAUAGCAUUUGGUGGUUUGUUGUUAUUCAGGUCCUUUUUGAGGGAGAAA
rnacentral:lncRNA from 1 species